GACCUGCGGAGGAUCAUUAUUGAAAUAAACCUGAUGGGUUGUUGCUGGUUCUCUAGGGAGCAUGUGCACACCUUGUCAUCUUUAUAUCUCCACCUGUGCACUUUUUGUAGACCUUUCAGGUCUAUGUUGCUUCAUUUACCCCAAUGUAUGUUAAUAGAAUGUUGUGCCUAUAUAAUAUAUACAACUUUCAGCAACGGAUCUCUUGGCUCUCGCAUCGAUGAAGAACGCAGCGAAAUGCGAUAAGUAAUGUGAAUUGCAGAAUUCAGUGAAUCAUCGAAUCUUUGAACGCACCUUGCGCUCCUUGGUAUUCCGAGGAGCAUGCCUGUUUGAGUGUCAUUAAUAUAUCAACCUUCUCUUUUUUGAGUUGUUUGGAUGUGGGGGUUUGCUGGCCUCUUAAAUGAUUCAGCUCCCCUGAAAUGCAUUAGCAGAACAACCUGUUCAUUGGCGUGAUAAUUAUCUAUGCUAUUGAAUGUGAGGGCAGUUCAGCUUUCUAACCGUCCUCGGACAAUUCAUCAUUAAUGUGACCUCAAAUCAGGUAGGACUACCCGCUGAACUUAAGCAUAUCA
rnacentral:rRNA from 1 species